GAUGAACGCUGGCGGCGUGCCUAAUACAUGCAAGUCGAGCGAACAGACGAGGAGCUUGCUCCUCUGACGUUAGCGGCGGACGGGUGAGUAACACGUGGAUAACCUACCUAUAAGACUGGGAUAACUUCGGGAAACCGGAGCUAAUACCGGAUAAUAUAUUGAACCGCAUGGUUCAAUAGUGAAAGACGGUUUUGCUGUCACUUAUAGAUGGAUCCGCGCCGCAUUAGCUAGUUGGUAAGGUAACGGCUUACCAAGGCAACGAUGCGUAGCCGACCUGAGAGGGGGAUCGGCCCCGCUGGAACUGAGACACGGUCCAGACUCCUACGGGAGGCAGCAGUAGGGAAUCUUCCGCAAUGGGCGAAAGCCUGACGGAGCAACGCCGCGUGAGUGAUGAAGGUCUUCGGAUCGUAAAACUCUGUUAUUAGGGAAGAACAAAUGUGUAAGUAACUAUGCACGUCUUGACGGUACCUAAUCAGAAAGCCACGGCUAACUACGUG
rnacentral:rRNA from 1 species